rnacentral:rRNA from 1 species
UCCCAGACUCCUACGGGAGGCAGCAGUGAGGAAUAUUGGUCAAUGGGCGGGAGCCUGAACCAGCCAAGCCGCGUGAAGGAAGAAGGCGCCAAGCGUCGUAAACUUCUUUUGUCGGGGAACAAAGGGCGCCACGUGUGGCGUUGUGAGUGUACCCGAAGAAAAAGCAUCGGCUAACUCCGUGCCAGCAGCCGCGGUAAUACGUAGGGGGCAAGCGUUAUCCGGAUUUACUGGGUGUAAAGGGGGCGCAGACGGCGAUGCAAGCCAGGAGUGAAAGCCCGGGGCCCAACCCCGGGACUGCUCUUGGAACUGCGUGGCUGGAGUGCAGGAGGGGCAGGCGGAAUUCCUGGUGUAGCGGUGAAAUGCGUAGAUAUCAGGAGGAACACCGGUGGCGAAGGCGGCCUGCUGGACUGCAACUGACGUUGAGGCCCGAAAGCGUGGGGAGCAAACAGGAUUAGAUACCCGUGUAAAC